rnacentral:misc_RNA from 1 species
AAGUCGUAACAAGGUCUCCGUUGGUGAACCAGCGGAGGGAUCAUUGCUGGAACGCGCCCCAGGCGCACCCAGAGACCCUAUGUGAACUUAUACCUUACUGUUGCCUCGGCGCAGGCCGGCCCCACCGGGCCCUGGGCCUGCUUCCAAGGAGCAGGCCCGCCGGCGGCCAAGUUAACUCUUGUUUUACACUGAAGCUCUGAGGAAAAACACAAAUGAAUCAAAA